CCUACGGGUGACAGCAGUGAGGAAUAUUGGUCAAUGGGCGGGAGCCUGAACGAGCCAAGUCGCGUGAGGGAAGACGGUCCUAUGGAUUGUAAACCUCUUUAGUCGGGGAGCAAUGCCGGGCACGUGUGCCAGGAGGGAGAGUACCCGCAGAAUAAGCAUCGGCUAACUCCGUGCCAGCAGCCGCGGUAGUACGUAGGAUGCUAGCGUGAUCCGUAUUUAUUGGGUUAAAAGGGUGCGUGGGCGGAUUUUUAAGUCAGCGGUAAAAUGUCCGGGCUCAACCCGGGGCGGCCGUUGAAACUGGGGAUCUUGAGUGGGCGAGAAGUAAGCGGAAUGCGUGGUGUAGCGGUGAAAUGCAUAGAUAUCACGAAGAACACCGGUUGCGAAGGCAGCAUACCGGCGCCCGACUGACGCUGAGGCACGAAAGCGUGGGGAUCGAACAGGAUUAGAUACCCUAGUAGUC
rnacentral:rRNA from 1 species